rnacentral:piRNA from 1 species
UGCCUCAGAAGGGCGAAGUACCGGC